CAGAGGGGGCAAGCGUUGUUCGGAAUUACUGGGCGUAAAGGGCGCGUAGGCGGCCUGCUAAGUCGAACGUGAAAUCCCUGGGCUCAACCCAGGAACUGCGUCCGAUACUGGUUGGCUUGAAUCCGGGAGAGGGACGUGGAAUUCCAGGUGUAGCGGUGAAAUGCGUAGAUAUCUGGAGGAACACCGGUGGCGAAGGCGACGUCCUGGACCGGCAUUGACGCUGAGGCGCGAAAGCCUGGGGAGCAAACGGGAUUAGAUACCCCGGUAGUCCUGGCCCUAAACGAUGAAUGCUUGGUGUGGCGGGUAUCGAUCCCUGCCGUGCCGAAGCUAACGCAUUAAGCAUUCCGCCUGGGGAGUACGGUCGCAAGGCUG
rnacentral:rRNA from 1 species